AGAUACCCAGACUCAGAUGAAUUGGACCGCUUUAUAGCUAACAUAAUGGCAAUAAUGCUACAGACGCUCAUUUUCGGCUAAUUCGUGAAGGGAUGAGCAAUAUCGUAUGUCCUGUAUUGAUUUGAUGCUGAUGAGGGUUGGUUACAUUUUCCUGCUUUGGGGACAGACUAGAACAUAUCCAAAAUAAUGUAUAGGUAAACGUUCCGACAAUAUCAACAGCCGUUUCACAAUACAUAUAUAGGGCAUUCUUGCAA